rnacentral:rRNA from 1 species
GACGAACGCUGGCGGCGUGCUUAACACAUGCAAGUCGAACGGAAAGGCCCUGCUUGCCGUGUCCUCGAGUGUCGAACGGGUGAGUAACACGUGUGUGAUCUGCCCUGCACUUCGGGAUAAGCCUGGUAAACUGGGUCUAAUACCGGAUAUAAGCCAUUUUUAGUGUGAUGGUUUGAAUGUUUUUUCGGUGUAGGAUGAGCUCACGGCCUAUCAGCUUGUUUGUGGGGUAAUGGCCUACCAAGGCGGCGACGGGUAGCCGGCCUGAGAGGGUGGACGGCCACAUUGGGACUGAGAUACGGCCCAGACGCCUACGGGAGGCAGCAGUGGGGAAUAUUGCACAACGGGCGCAAGCCUGAUGCAGCGACGCCGCGGGGGGGAUGACGGGCUUCGGGUUGAAAACGCCUUUCGCUAGGGACGAAGCUUUUUGUGACGGUACCUAGAUAAGAAGCACCGGCUAACUACGUG